rnacentral:rRNA from 1 species
AGUGAACGCUGGCGGUAGGCCUAACACAUGCAAGUCGAACGGCAGCACAGUAAGAGCUUGCUCUUACGGGUUGCGAGUGGCGGACGGGUGAGGAAUACAUCGGGAUCUACUUUUUCGUGGGGGAUAACGUAGGGAAACUUACGCUAAUACCGCAUACGACCUACGGGUGAAAGCAGGGGAUCUUCGGACCUUGCGCGAUUGAAUGAGCCGAUGUCGGAUUAGCUAGUUGGCGGGGUAAAGGCCCACCAAGGCGACGAUCCGUAGCUGGUCUGAGAGGAGGAUCAGCCACACGGGAGCUGAGACACGGUCCAGACUCCUACGGGAGGCAGCAGUGGGGAAUAUUAGACAAUGGGCGCAAGCCUGAUCCAGCCAUACCGCGUGGGUGAAGAAGGCCUUCGGGUUGUAAAGCCCUUUUGUUGGGAAAGAAAAGCAUCAGGUUAAUACCCCGCUGUUCUGACGGUACCCAAAGAAUAAGCACCGGCUAACUUCGUG